rnacentral:rRNA from 1 species
AUUGAACGCUGGCGGCAUGCUUUACACAUGCAAGUUGAACGGCAGCGCGGGGCAACCUGGCGGCGAGUGGCGAACGGGUGCGUAAUAUAUCGGAACGUACCCAGAAGUGGGGGAUAACGUAGCGAAAGUUACGCUAAUACCGCAUACGAUCUACGGAUGAAAGUAGGGGACCGCAAGGCCUUAUGCUUUUGGAGCGGCCGAUAUCUGAUUAGCUAGUUGGUGAGGUAAAGGCUCACCAAGGCGACGAUCAGUAGCUGGUCUGAGAGGACGACCAGCCACACUGGAACUGAGACACGGUCCAGACUCCUACGGGAGGCAGCAGUGGGGAAUUUUGGACAAUGGGCGCAAGCCUGAUCCAGCAAUGCCGCGUGAGUGAAGAAGGCCUUCGGGUUGUAAAGCUCUUUUGUCAGGGAAGAAACGGUAGAGGCUAAUAUCCUUUGCUAAUGACGGUACCUGAAGAAUAAGCACCGGCUAACUACGUG